rnacentral:rRNA from 1 species
UACGUAGGUGGCAAGCGUUGUCCGGAAUCACUGGGCGUAAAGCGCGCGCAGGCGGCGAUCUACGUCUGGGGUGAAAGCCCGGAGCUCAACUCCGGGACUGCCUUGGAUACGGGAUCGCUUGAGGAUUGGAGAGGCAAGGGGAAUUCCACGUGUAGCGGUGAAAUGCGUAGAUAUGUGGAGGAACACCGAUGGCGAAGGCAGCCCCCUGGGUUAACACUGACGCUCAUGCACGAAAGCGUGGGGAGCAAACAGG